UACGGAGGGUGCGAGCGUUACUCGGAUUUAUUGGGUUUAAAGGGUGCGUAGGCGGAGUGCCAAGUCAGCGGUAAAAAUUCGGGGCUCAACCCCGUCGUGCCGUUGAAACUGGCGCCCUUGAGUGGGCGAGAAGUAUGCGGAAUGCGUGGUGUAGCGGUGAAAUGCAUAGAUAUCACGCAGAACCCCGAUUGCGAAGGCAGCAUACCGGCGCCCGACUGACGCUGAAGCACGAAAGCGUGGGUAUCGAACAGG
rnacentral:rRNA from 1 species